rnacentral:rRNA from 1 species
UCCAGAGCCAUAUCAACCUGCAGUUCUUGCCUGGUUCCCAACUGAAGUUAAGCAGGAUUGAGUCUGGUCAGUACCUGGAUGGGAGAUCUCCACGGGAAAACUAAGGUUGCUGCUGGAA